AAUCUUAGCAUCCCUAAAACUCACGGGUUUUGUGUCGGAAUGAAAAACAUAAUCCUUAUCAUCAUACCCAUCAACAAUAAUCAAAAAAGUGAUGAUGCUUGGUGGAAACUCCGUCAUUAAAACAACCAACUUCUCGGAGUCAUUGAUGAACCAGUUUCUGCUUUGCAAUUGGAUGUCCGUCUCCAGAUUACUGCUCCCUUCUGCAAAAUAGGGAUGAAGGGAGUCAUACUUAAAGAAAGAGAAGAGGGGCUGAAGCAGCACCUAUUCUUUGGGGGGGGGGUAAUGUUUUGGCAUUUGUGAAACUCAUUAAAGAAGUAAAGUGAAGAAUUAAAGAAUGGGGAAACUGUAGGGAAGCCCAAUAGAAAUAUUAGUUUCAAAUCUUGGCACAAGGCCAGCAAUUUCGUUGUGGGGUGGGAGGUAAGUUGAUUACAUUGGUCCCAGUGUUCCACUAGUACUCUUUCUGUUGACCCCCAAAGGAUGAAAGGCAAAGUUGACCCUGGUGGCAUUUGAACUCAGAAUGUAAAGUUACCAGGCAGGCUAAUGAUUCUACCAGCCUGCCAUCUUAAGACAGGUAGAAACAUUGAUGUGUGUGUGUGUCUGUGUGUAUGAAGGGUGGAAGGUACUGGGAAAUGGGACUGUGUCCUUGUGUUUCUUUAUCCCCCAUGACUGCUUGAUAACCAGUGUUAGUUUGUUUGCAUCCCCAUAACUUAGUGGUUUGACAUAAGAGACUGCUAGAAUAAGUACUAGGCUUUAAUGAAAACAGGUCCUGCGAGUGACUCAUUCAAAUAAAACCUUUCAAGGUAGUGCCCCAGCAUGGCCACAGUCUAAUGAAAGAAACUGAUAAGAAAUAAAAACAUACCUACACAGGUGUGCAUCCCCACCCCAUCCAACUUUGUUUCCUCAUAACUUAAAAAAUAAAUAUUUUCAAUGAAAUUUUCUACAAAUACUUUUAAGAUGGCUUCCCAACCACAUGGUUCCAGGUUCAGUCCCACUGCAUGACUAAAUAAUAGUCAAUUUCAUAUUACCUACGCACGUUUCAAUUUCUUACCUUCAUUAAUAUUUUGCAAUUAAGAUUACUUUAUGCAUUUGAAAGGUAAAAGCCUCUUCAGGGCAAAAAUUGACUAAUAUUCGUAGACAUUGUCUUGGGUGGAGAGUUGCUUAUAGACUGAGAUAGCAGCUUGCUUUUGUGUGUGUUGGGCAUGAGUGGAUUUUGGAUUCCUUUCUAAAAAUACAUAUAUGUAUGCACGUGUGUCUCUGUAUCUGCAUUUGUCCUCUACCACCACUUGAGAACUGGUGUUGGUGUGUUUACAUCCCUGUAACUUAGGAGUUUGGUAAGAAAGAUCAAUAGAAUAAGUACCACCCUUAAAAAAAAAAAAGGCCUGGGGCCAACUAAUUUGACUAAAAAAUUCUUCAAUGUGGUGCCCCAUCAUGGCCACAGUCACAUGACUGAAAUAAGUAAAAAGUUAUGAGGAAACAAGUCAAGAUGAAGUUAUGCCAGAUCAAUCAAAAUGCUUGUGGUGCCAUCGUAGGAUGUUUUAAAAACUGCCUCAACAAUGAAAGGUCAGCCACAAGAAGUUACCUUUUGCAAAAAAUACAAACUUUUCAAUCAUU
rnacentral:lncRNA from 1 species